GAUGAACGCUGGCGGCGUGCCUAAUACAUGCAAGUCGAGCGAACGGACGAGAAGCUUGCGUCUCUGAUGUUAGCGGCGGACGGGUGAGUAACACGUGUAUAACCUACCUAUAAGACUGGGAUAACUUCGGGAAACCGGAGCUAAUACCGGAGGAUAUUUUGAACCGCAUGGUUCAAAAGUGAAAGACGGUCUUGCUGUCACUUAUAGAUGGAUCCGCGCUGCAUUAGCUAGUUGGUAAGGUAACGGCUUACCAAGGCAACGAUGCAUAGCCGACGUGAGAGAGGGGUAGCCGACAUUGGAACUGGAACACGGUCCAGACUCCUACGGGACGCAGCAGAAGGGAACCUUACGCAAUAGGCGAAAGCAUGACAGAGCAACGCCGCGUGAGUGAUGAAGGUCUUCCGAUCGUGAAAAUCUGUUAUUAGGGAAGAACAUAUGUGUAAGUAACCGUGCACAUCUUGACGGUACCUAAUCAGAAAGCAACGGCUAACUACGUG
rnacentral:rRNA from 1 species